rnacentral:rRNA from 1 species
CCUACGGGAGACAGCAGUGAGGAAUAUUGGUCAAUGGCCGAGAGGCUGAACCAGCCAAGUCGCGUGAGGGAAGACGGCUCUACGGGUUGUAAACCUCUUUUGUCGGGGAGCAAAGCGAACCACGUGUGGCUCAUUGAGAGUACCCGACGAAAACGCAUCGGCUAACGCCGUGCCAGCAGCCGCGGUAAUACGGAGGAUGCGAGCGUUAUCCGGAUUUAUUGGGGUAAAAGGGCGCGCAGGCGGAAGAUCAAGCCAGCGGUAAAAUUGAGAGGCUCAACCUCUUCGAGCCGUUGAAACUGGUUUUCUUGAGUGAGUGAGAGGUAUGCGGAAUGCGUGGUGUAGCGGUGAAAUGCAUAGAUAUCACGCAGAACACCGGUUGCGAAGGCAGGAUACCGGCGCUCAACUGACGCUGAGGCACGAAAGUGUGGGUAGCGAACAGGAUUAGAUACCCGGGUAGUC